rnacentral:rRNA from 1 species
UACCAGCACCCCGAGUGGUCGGGACGUUUAUUGGGCCUAAAGCAUCCGUAGCCGGUUCUACAAGUCUUCCGUUAAAUCCACCUGCUCAACAGAUGGGCUGCGGAAGAUACUACGUGGCUAGGAGGCGGGAGAGGCAAGCGGUACUCAGUGGGUAGGGGUAAAAUCCUUUGAUCCAUUGAAGACCACCAGUGGCGAAGGCGGCUUGCCAGAACGCGCUCGACGGUGAGGGAUGAAAGCUGGGGGAGCAAACCGG